GGAAAUCAUAUGAAAAAUAUGAAUUUCCUUUUCCCAAAAAAGUUGUCAAUAGAGGACAGGUCAAAUUUCUUUAGUUAGCUCACUCUUAUUGAUCAUAUAACAUGUACCCGGGACUGUACUAGACACUUAAUUUAAUUCUUAGAACACUAUGAGUGAGGUAAAACUAUUGCUUCCAUUUUUCAGAACAGAAAAUUGAGGCAACAACAUCAAGCAGCUACUUACUCUGAGGGAGGUCUGAAUGCCAUAUUGUGAGCGGCCCUGCUGAAAGACCCAUGUGGCAAGGAUCUGAGAUCAUUGGCCAACAGGCUGCAAAGAGUCCUACCAACAGCCAGGCUGGUGUUCUUGGAAGUGGAUCUUCUCCUACUCUCCUACUUGAGAUGACUGCAGCCCCAGCUAACACUUCGAUUGCAGCCUUGUUAAGAUAUCACGGGCCAGACACACCCAGCUAAGUUAUGCCUGAGUUACUAGCCCACAGAAAUGAUAAGAUAAUAAAUAUUUGCUGUUUUAAGCUGCUAAGUUUUGGGUUAAUUUGUUAUACAACAAUGGAUAACUAAUACAAGUGCAGUCAUUGAUCUCAUUGAACACACCCGUAAUUCUUUGGAAAAAUGUCUAC
rnacentral:lncRNA from 1 species